rnacentral:lncRNA from 1 species
UAUUAGAGAAAAUAUGACUACCACAAGUCAGAGGAAUAAUCUUUAACCAACAUUGCAUUUCCAGGAAUACGUCAAAGCUGGUGGUAUUCUUCAGGAGGACAUUUCCGAAGCUUGUCUAAUUUUGGGAGUUAAAAGACCUCCAGAGGAUAAACUAAUGUCCAAGAAAACUUAUGCAUUCUUCUCCCACACAAUAAAAGCUCAAGAAGCUAAUAUGAGCUUGUUGGAUGAGGUUCUAAAACAGGUAAUUAGUGACCAAUAUGCAUAAGUGUUAACACAGGAAAAUAAU